rnacentral:rRNA from 1 species
CUGGCGGUAGGCUUAACACAUGCAAGUCGUGCGAGAAAAUAUCUUCGGAUAUGAGUAGAGCGGCGAACGGGUGAGUAACGCGUAGGAAUGUACCUAGUAGAAGGGGAUAGCCCGGGGAAACUCGGAUUAAUACCGUAUACCUCCUUUGGGAGAAAGAAGGCCUCUCUUUGAAGCUUUCGCUAUUAGAUCAGCCUGCGUAAGAUUAGCUUGUUGGUGAGGUAAUGGCUCACCAAGGCUACGAUCUUUAGCUGGUCUGAGAGGACGAUCAGCCACAUUGGGACUGAGACACGGCCCAGACUCCUACGGGAG